rnacentral:rRNA from 1 species
CCUACGGGAGGCAGCAGUGAGGAAUAUUGGUCAAUGGACGAGAGUCUGAACCAGCCAAGUAGCGUGAAGGAUGACUGCCCUAUGGGUUGUAAACUUCUUUUAUAUGGGAAUAAAAUGUUCCACGUGUGGGAUUUUGUAUGUACCAUAUGAAUAAGGAUCGGCUAACUCCGUGCCAGCAGCCGCGGUAAUACGGAGGAUCCGAGUGUUAUCCGGAUUUAUUGGGUUUAAAGGGAGCGUAGGUGGAUUGUUAAGUCAGUUGUGAAAGUUUGCGGCUCAACCGUAAAAUUGCAGUUGAAACUGGCAGUCUUGAGUACAGUAGAGGUGGGCGGAAUUCGUGGUGUAGAGGUGAAAUGCUUAGAUAUCACGAAGAACUCCGAUUGCGAAGGCAGUUCACUGGACUGCAACUGACACUGAGGCUCGAAAGUGUGGGUAUCAAACAGGAUUAGAUACCCUUGUAGUC